rnacentral:tRNA from 2 species
GCCCGGAUGGUGAAACUGGUAGACACAGCAGACUCAAAAUCUGCCGCUUCGCGGCGUGCCGGUUCGAUUCCGGCUCUGGGCACCA